UGGGGAAUCUUGCACAAUGGGGCCAACCCUGAUGCAGCGACGCCGCGUGAGCGAUGAAGCCCUUCGGGGCGUAAAGCUCUUUCGACCGGAACGAUAAUGACGGUACCGGGAGAAGAAGCUGCGGCUAACUACGUGCCAGCAGCCGCGGUAAUACGUAGGCAGCAAGCGUUGUUCGGAGUUACUGGGCGUAAAGAGUGCGUAGGCGGUUUUCUAAGUUCGGUGUGAAAUCUCCCGGCUUAACUGGGAGGGUGCGCCGAAGACUGGGAAGCUGGAGUGUGGGAAAGGCAGGCGGAAUUCCUGGUGUAGCGGUGAAAUGCGUAGAUAUCAGGAGGAACACCGGCGGUGUAGACGGCUUGCUAGACCAUAACUGACGCUGAGGCACGAAAGCGUGGGUAGCAAAC
rnacentral:rRNA from 1 species